rnacentral:lncRNA from 1 species
CUGUCCGCACACUGCAUUCAAUUUAUAAUGCAAGGCUGCAAGCUCAGUAGCUCACGCCUCACUGUCCAGUUUAGUACAUCAGCAGACAGCAAUUUAGUACAUCAGCAGACAACUGCAAAACUUAUACAAGAGAUAAAGGCUUGUACUCACUAUCCAGUUUAGCACAUCAGCAGACAGGCACGCACCAUCUAACAAUUUUAAUUUUACAAAACAGACCAUAAAAUUUACCAAACUUCCAACUCUAAAUUCUCAAACGAGGUCAUUAAUUUAUGCUCGUCUUUCAUUCUAGCUUGCAUUCACCACUUGUCACAGAAUGCUAAGAUAUAUGAUCUUGGACGUAAACCACUAAAACCAAA